rnacentral:misc_RNA from 1 species
CAAUACCCUCAGUCUCACCGUCACUGAGUCGCAAGCCCAAAAGCAGACCUCCACCUCCAGGGAUGAAAAUCUUCCUUCCUGGAUUAAUGGGCCAGCCCGAGGUCCAAGAACAAUUGGGUCACCCGAAACAACGGCCCAAGUUCACCCACAGUUAUUUACUCGUACCCUUCUAUCGAAAGCAAUGGAGAGCUAUGGUGUUGAGGUGGUGACAGG